rnacentral:misc_RNA from 1 species
UCUCCGUUGGUGAACCAGCGGAGGGAUCAUUACAGGACUCGCAAGACUCCUACAACCCUGUGAACUUAACUAUAAGCACGUUGCUUCGGCGGGUGUCUCGGAGGGGGUUCUCCCUCCCCGAGACGCUAAACCCGCCGGCAGCCUACUAUACUCUGUCCCUUUGCGUUGGCAUCUCGAGUACAAUCAAACAAGUUAAAACUUUCAACAACGGAUCUCUUGGUUCUG